AUGACUUUGAUCUGCGUCCUCAUCUGGACUCUCCUCUGCUGCUGCUUCACAGAGGUCAGAGGUCAGGUCACAGUGACUCAGCAGCCUGUAGCAGUGAGAGCUGAUCUGGGAGGAUCUAUCAGCAUCAACUGUAGAACCAGUCAGAAUGUUUAUGUGGACAGCAGUGGCCACCGUUUAGCCUGGUACCAACAGAAAGAUGGACAAACUCCUAAGCUUCUCAUUUAUUUGUCUAGCACUAAAGCAUCAGGGACUCCAAGUCGUUUCUCAGGCAGUGGAUCAAACUCUGACUUCACUCUGACCAUCAGUGGAGUUCAGGCUGAAGAUGCUGCAGUUUAUUACUGUCAGAGUCUUCAUAACAUUGGGAGUCAGUGGCCAUUCACACAGUGAAAAACAGUCGUACAAAAACCUUCCUCAAUCAAACUGAACUGAAACUCAAGUUUCAGUGCAAUGACAGUGGCAGCUGGAAGCUGCAGUAAAGACAGACAUAAUUAAAUGAACACAAGUUGGAGCGUACGCAAAGACUAGCUUAUAGCAUUUGAUAAGCUGAGUGAGGCUUAAGAAGGGGAACAAUCAGGGAGCGACAGGUGCAGGGAAUUAAAGUAAUGAGG